UACGAAGGGGGCUAGCGUUGCUCGGAAUCACUGGGCGUAAAGGGUGCGUAGGCGGGUCUUUUAAGUCAGAGGUGAAAUCCUGGAGCUCAACUCCAGAACUGCCUUUGAUACUGAAAGUCUUGAGUAUGGGAGAGGUGAGUGGAACUGCGAGUGUAGAGGUGAAAUUCGUAGAUAUUCGCAAGAACACCAGUGGCGAAGGCGGCUCACUGGCCCGAUACUGACGCUGAGGCACGAAAGCGUGGGGAGCAAACAGG
rnacentral:rRNA from 1 species